rnacentral:ncRNA from 1 species
CUCGCUGAGUUUAAGCAUAUAAUUAAGCGAAGGAAAAUAAAAUUACAAGGAUUCCCCUAGUAACGGUGAGGGAAAUGGGAAGAUCCUAGAAUGAAAAUCGGGUGGCAGUGCCACUUGAAUUGUAGUAUGUAUAAGCAUCCUUAGCGGUGUAUCAGGCCCAAGUCCCCUGGAAGGGGGCGCCUGAGAGGCUGACAGCCCCAUCAGGUUGGGACCUUGCCGUACCACGAGGCGUUGUCGACGAGUUGGGUUGUUUGGGAAAUGUAGUCCUAAUCUGGUGGUAAAUUUUGUCCAAGGCUAAAUACAGGUGAGAGAUUGAUAGUGAACAAGUAUUGCAAGGGAAACAUGAAAAGGACUUUGAAAAUAGAGUUAAAGAGUGCUUGAAAUUGUCGAGAGGGAAGCAGAUGGAGGCUGACAAUGCGUCUUGGUUGGAUGCGGAACAGAUCAAGUUGGUCAAUUGAUCGACUCGAGGUGUGAACCAGCACAAGUCGUUGCAUCAACACAAGUGCGGGUAGAGUAUUCCCUGUUGGUUUGUCGUUGUGGCGGUCGAGGAGUAGAGAAAUCAAGGGAUUCCACCAACACUCAUUUAAAUUUAUUUUUAAUCGCUUGCCAAUACUUCUUAUAGUUUGUUGAUAUUGAGCUCACACAUGAGGUAGUUUAUAUCUAU